GCACUGUUCUGGCUCUGCGCACUUUCGGAUCUCGCUCAGCCCGCAGCCAUUGGCGCUCUGACACCCGGUUAAUCCCAGGGCCGCGUGGCAGGACCUGGCCACACACUGAGGGAGCCUGGCCGCGGAUGUGGGUUCGCAUUUCAGCCAGAGCAAGCAGGAAGGCUGGAGUCCUGGGGAGCCUGCCGUGUGCGAUGGGAGAGCCUGGUGUAAGGCCGCUGCGGCAGCCAGCCCAGCAUGGCGGGGAGAGGGUGUGGCCCCGCAGACCCUGGGCAGCCCCACCUGGCUUGCCUGACCUGGUGACAUCGCCCUGCAGCCAGCAAUGGCAAGCCCCCGCGCAGGGCCCGGCCUGCCUUGGGAAGGGUGGGGGCUGCGCCAAGAUGCUCACUGUAUCGGCAACGCCCUGCUGGAGGCCGGCAGCACAGGGCGCCUGCCCGAGGACUCACGGGUGUCCGGCCCUUUGACGGGCAGGUGAGGCAAACCCACCCCAUGUCCGGGCCUCCUGUGGACCUGACAGCAGCUUUCUGACCCCCGGCCGUGUCCCAUGGCCUGUGGGAGGGGACAGGCUGCAUUUGCUCAGGCCGCGAGAGACACCUCCUUCCAUUACUCUUCUUUUUCUAAACUUUUGGCAGCUUCAGGCCUUCAGAGAACUAGUUCAAGAGGUUUAGCAGUUAACUUUCCACAUCGGUGCAAGAGGAAAUAGGGAUGCGGUAUAAGUCCUUGGCCUCGGCACAAACCCAGACGGGCCACUGCCUUCAGAAAGGUCAUCUGGAGCUCGUGGUGGCGGCUCUAGCCCAGCCUGUCCAGCGGCACCAUGGACAUCCCACAGGGAGGAUGGCUCCCUGGGGCGCCGGCUUCAUUCUGACUCCUGCCCUCGCCAGCUGACGGCUGCCCUCCCGGCCCAUACCCCUGAGCAGGGUGAGAAAGGCCUGUCACCUCGGCCACCCUGUUGCUGUGGGCAGGGAAGCACAGGAGGAGGUGACCACGGCACCCCGAUCCCUGACUCCAACAGCCCAGCCUGUGGAAUGGGACAGGAGACAGGGGACAGGGGAGGGGACCUGCCCCUCCUCUCCCCACCACUCCCCAACUCCCGGGGCUGAACGCAGCCUGGGCUCCACAGCUGGGAAAACCCCCAAGGCACAAGCACCCCCAGGCCCCCACGAGGCCUCGCCAAGCCCAGGCUGCAAGCGAGCGCCCAGUGGGGCCGUCAGAGCCGAGUCCCAGCCAGGCCGUACCAGGCUCUGUCCCUGGGAAGUCUCAGGCUUGGUCAGAAAAGAAUGCACCCAGCCACGCCGCAGCGUGAGUGGGCCAGAGCCCCAUGCCGGCUGGGGACUGCCCCUGAGGCCUGGGAGAGCCAGGAGCCACCACCAGGCUGGGAGCCAAAGUGUCCACAUUCUUUGCGGCUGGGGGAAGGACAUUUUUGUGGGCACGAACCAAAUUGUUGACCUUGGAGUCCAAUAUUUUUUAACAGCUUCUGGCUCUGGGCAAGUUGGAAAGCCCAGCCAGGGAAGACAAAGUCAGGUCUGGGGGUCGCUGGAGAAAGCAGUCUUGGAGAAACACCCCGGGGCCCCUGCCCCUCACAUCUCUGGCCCCAGGUCCGCAUGAGGGUGAUGAAGGUGGCUCUUGUGAUUUGGGUACCUGGUUGGCUUCCAGGGGUUUGGUGGUCACAGCUCCAUGGGCAGAGGCCCCCUGCCCAGAUCUGCUCCCAGGGCCAGCGAGAGCCCGUCUGGACGGCUCAGAGGCCAAGCCCAGAGUGCCCAGGACACAGAAUCACCUGGGCCAGGCAGGUAACGCCCAUGCAGACCUCCCCAGGCCUGACGAUGAAGGGCUGACGCUCCACAGGAAUCGCGGGGCCGGCUUUGCUCCUGGGAACUCUAGGAGCCUCUUACUCUUUGCUAUUUUAUUUACCGUGUUUCCCUGAAAAUAAGACCUACCCAUAAAAUAAGCCCUAGCAAGGUU